GAUACAUCCAGGCGACAAAGGCCAGGGCUCCUGUUACUAUAAGAACUCCUGCAAGAGUGAAUGUGAAUUGUGGCGCUCCCAGCUAUUCUGCUCCUGUUUCCAUCAGCCGCUUCCCUGAGGGGCUCAAGAGGCUGUGAUAAAAGCCAAAGUACCAAGGCAAAGAACAAAUGUCACAAGCCUGCUGGAUUCUUUAUAAAAGUAUGGAGAAGAAGACAGAUAUUAAAAUCGUAUAAUAACAAUUAUGAUAUCAUACUUACCACCUACUGUGCAUUAUGCUAAGCAUUUUAUCUUACUUUUAAUCCUCACAACAACCCUGCGUGCUGCUGCUGGAAAGAACUCCUUCUGCUGGGAUGAAGAAAUGCUGUUGGGUUGAUGCUCACAGGAACCACAAGCAGACAGAAAGCCUUUAAAAAGGAGCAAGCCCUCUCUUCCUCCUCCAACAUUGCAAUCUCCGUCCAGUACCACCUUUGGCAGAAUGUAACGGAGAGCCAGCUGGCAAAGCGGAAAUGGGGUGUGCAGAGUCCCAGUGCCAGCAUCUCAAAGCCAAAUAAAGAAAAGGGCAUUUGGAAUAUAGAGACAAAAAGUUAAUAACUGGUAUAACAAUGAUGCCUCCUAGCUUUUUCAAACGCUCAUGGGGAAAAAUCAAUUUUUAUUUUCCUGAAGCAAAAUAAUCUUUCAAAUUUGUUCAAAAAAAAAUAGUUCUAGGAAAGGAAGGAUUGUUAAUCAAAUUCUUAAGAACUACUGAUUCAGUCUUUAUGGUUUCAGGGUUUUUUAUUUCUGAUUUUCAGGAAGAUGUGUAUAUUUAAUAAGCCCAGUUUUGCCCCCAAACAUAUACUCCCUCAAAAAAAAAUUCUUUCAUCAAUAAAAAGAUCCUGAAAUUUCA
rnacentral:lncRNA from 1 species